rnacentral:lncRNA from 10 species
AUAAAUAAUUGUUAUACUAUUUAUAUUAUUUAUAAUUUUUAUUAUUUAUAUUUAUAUGAUUUAUAUUUUAAUUUUGCAUUGUUAUUUUGUAUUUUUUCUGAAUUUAUUCAGUCAGUGGCUGGUCGAAUCCAUGGGUGUGGAGUCCAAAGAUAUGGAAGGCUGACUGUAUUUUCCUGUACAUAGUGAGUGUGUGUGUUUUUAUGUUUGUGCCUGCACACAUACACUCGUGUGUGCGUAAGAUCAUUAGAAUAAAAUAAUAAGUUCUACUCAAUAACCCCUUCCAGAAUCUGGCCUGGGGUUGACAUUAUUCUCCCUGGCCCUUGGUUAGUGGAAACCACAGCUUCUUCUCCUCUGAGGGUGCUUCCCUUGAGUCUAGGGUGAUUCCUUUAUGGCCCUGGGUGCUGUCAUUGGUUCUUCCUGCCACCAUGGCUGCCAGUUCCUUCUCCUUACUGUCCCUUCUCCCUCUGCAGCUGGAAGAUCAUUCUCGUUGAUCCAGAAGGCACAGGUGCUCCCAAGCUGUGGCGUGUGUGGGUCCCUGCUAUCCGUCAUUGGCAGGACUUCAGCGUCAGCCUAGGCCUCCAUUCCUUAGGAGCUUCUUGCCAUUGUGUCACUAAAAUGUCACAUUGUCUUGUCCUGAGCCGUUCUUGUGAGGAGCCAGUGCAAUGCAGAGGGGAACAGAAUAAUAGGAUUGGCCCUUUUUAUGGCCCUACAGCUAGCUGUGCAACCUCAGGCCAGCCACUUAAUAUUCCCCAGCAAAUCUUGCUUUUUAUGAAAUGGGGACAGGAGUGUCUUGCUCCUAGGGAGCAAAUGUGAUAAUGCAGGUAAAGUGCCCCAUGCAAUGGCAGGCGUGCUGCAGGUGCUUGCAAAAGGAUUUUCCCUUUCUGCCCCUAAUUCCAGUGUGGCUGUAAAUCCCUUCAUAGCUGUGUGGCUUUGGGCAAGUCACUUAACCUUUCUGAACCAUACCUGUCAAAUGGUGAUAAUGACAUCUCCCCUACAAUGUUCAUUCAUUCAUUGAGCAAAUAUUUAUCAAGGACCUAGUACGGGCUGGGCAUCAUGCUAAGCAUUAGGGAUAUAGUGACGGAUGAGACUGAUGAAGUCUGUGAUUUGAUGUUGACGAUUGCCUAGUGAGAAAGAGAAAUAAAACAAAUGACUGUAUCGAUAAUUGUCAUGAGCUUGGAGUUGAAGCAAUAAAAUAUGUUGUACCCAGUAGGUGCUUCAGGAAGGCAGCCACCCAUCACCUACUGCAGUCCCAGCCACAACUGGGCUGCAUGAAACCACUACUGGAGCCCCAGCAGAGAGCUCACUUCCACCACCCUGCCUGUGGGGCUCAGCUCAGCAAUGCUCUGGCAUCUUCUAUAUUGUCCUGUGUGAUUUCUCAGAAGAGGUAGACUGUCCCAAAGGCCAGAGCACUGCUGCUGUCUGAGCAGCCAAGAUGCCGAAGCUUCAUCUCAAACUUUCAUUAUCCUUUGCCUUGGGCUGUCCUGUUUUCCUCUCCCCUCCCCCCUCCUUUUUCCUUCCUUCUUUUUCUUAAGACUAGGUCCCAUUCUGUUGCUCAGGCUGGAGUGCAGUGGUGCCAUUUCAGCUCACUGCAAUCUCUGUCUCCUGGGUUCAAGCGAUCCUCCCACCUCAGCUCCCCAGUAGCUGGUACUACAGGUUUGUGCCAUCAUGCUCAGCUAAUCGUGGUAUUUUUUUUAUAGAGACAUGGUUUUGCCAUGUUUCCCGGGCUGGUCUCAAACUCCUGAGCUCAAACAAUCCACCCCCCUCAACCUCUGAAAGUGCUGGGAUUACAGGCAUGAGCCAUUGCACCUGGCCUGUUCUGUUUCUUGGUGGGGAAUUAAUUCCAUUCUUUCUAGGAUUUUUUUUUUUUUUUUUAAAUCUUCCUUGCUAAACCAGAGCAUGGGGGAGGCUCCCAGGGACCCCUCAUUCACUAUCAUUCAGAGUAGCAAUAACCAUCCAUUAAGCAUGAUGCUAUGCCAGGGCACUUUACCCUCAUGAACUCUUUGAAUCUCACAGCAGCCCUGACAAUAUUAUAAUUCUCAUUUUACAGAGAAGAAAAUGGAGAAACAAAGAGGUUGGUUAAAGUGCCACAGCCACACGGUUGGUGGCUGUGUUUGAAUUCAAACCUGGACACCUGUUGCCAUUCUGAGGGUGUUCUGUAAUAACAUGCCUGAAUCAGAGUUGGGAAGAUGGAGCAUGGGAUGAGGACAAAGGAGAGAAGUCCAGAGGCUGGCUAGAGAUGGUAAGAGUCCAGAGACAAGACCCUGGUGUUGCUGUCCUCAGCCUCUUUUGAGAAGUUCCUGUUAUCUUUAGGGGAAGACAGGAGGGGAUGGAGAAGAGAAUUUCUGGGAGACCUCUUGAAUGUUUCAGUUCCAAGACAGUACCUGAGAAGUCCACUGUGAACAGUUGCCCACGUUGUGGACUCCACAGCUCUAGAUGACACCAUUCACACUGUUGUCAAUGAGAAUAGACUGUUUAGGUACCCUGUAGGGACAUGCAUUUUGCAUCCUGUGUCAUAAGAGGACUUCUAAGCGGUACUGGCUAGAAUGCUGCGGGGACAGGGAGAACCUUUCUCACCUUAGAACAGGGUCCCUGGGCUCCUGCUGGGGAGAAAGAUCAGAAAGGGACAGUCCACAGCAGGCCAUUGAGUCUACUGGGAAGAAUGAGAUGGGAGAUAUGGGCACUGUCUCUCCUAGCCAGCUUUUCUGGGUCUCUUUACCCUAUUCAGACACACCUGGUGGUCUCACCCUCUGCUCCCCAUACAUGAGGCUGAGGUCCCUGCACACCCAACCCUGGAAUUGGAGCUGGAGCUCACCCUCCCUGCAGGGAUGCCGGCUUUCAGGGCCCUGCCUCCAGUCCAGUACUGUAACGGAACCUCCUCACGCUGGCUUGAGUAGUAGGGUUUGAUAUGAGGGCAAGGGGGUGAGUAAGACAUUCAUGAAACUCAAGUGUGGUAAUGUUAUACUGAAUACAUUGGUUGCAAGUGACAGAAACCCAAGACAGCUGAACUCCUAGGACUGAAGGAAGUGUUCCAGGAACCCCGGGCCCCAGGGAUUGGAAUGGAGACUCGGGACCACCAAGUCUUUCUCUCUUGUUCUCUUUCCUCUCUUUCUCUCUCAUCUCUGUUUCUCUUUGUUCUUCCAGAGUUGACGCCAAAGUUCUCCUAGAUGGAAGGUCAAAGUGCAAAACCCUCUUAC